AGAGUUUGAUUAUGGCUCAGAACGAACGCUGGCAGCGUGGAUUAGGCAUGCAAGUCGAACGGGAUCAGCCGGUUAGCAAUAAUUGGCUGUGAGAGUGGCGGAUGGGGAGGAACACGUGAGCAACCUGCCCUUGGGACGGGGAAAACCGUUGGAAACGACGGCUAAUACCGGAUGCGGCGUCGCGGGACAUCCCGCGAACGUCAAAGGGGGCCGCAAGGCUCCCGCCCGAGGAGGGGCUCGCGCACCAUCAGCUUGUUGGCGGGGUAACGGCCCACCAAGGCUUACGGUUAGCUGGUCUGAGAGGAUGGCCAGCCCCACUGGGACUGAGAUACUGCCCAGACUCCUACGGGAGGCUGCAGUCGAGGAUCAUUCGCAAUGGGCGAAAGCCUGACGAUGCGACGCUGCCGUGGAGGAUGAAGGCCGUUCGGGUACGUAAACUCCUGUCAUGGGGGAAAAGGCGAGGGGACCCAACACGUCCCUUAGUUGAUGGUACUCCAAGAGGAAGGGACGGCUAACUCUGUGCCAGCCGCGGC
rnacentral:rRNA from 1 species